UAGGGAAUCUUCCGCAAUGGGCGAAAGCCUGACGGAGCAACGCCGCGUGAGUUAUGAAGGUCUUCGGAUCGUAAAACUCUGUUAUUAGGGAAGAACAAAUGUGUAAGUAACUAUGCACGUCUUGACGGUACCUAAUCAGAAAGCCACGGCUAACUUCGUGCCAGCAGCCGCGGUAAUACGUAGGUGGCAAGCGUUAUCCGGAAUUAUUGGGCGUAAAGCGCGCGUAGGCGGUUUUUUAAGUCUGAUGUGAAAGCCCACGGCUCAACCGUGGAGGGUCAUUGGAAACUGGAAAACUUGAGUGCAGAAGAGGAAAGUGGAAUUCCAUGUGUAGCGGUGAAAUGCGCAGAGAUAUGGAGGAACACCAGUGGCGAAGGCGACUUUCUGGUCUGUAACUGACGCUGAUGUGCGAAAGCGGGGGGAUCAAACAGG
rnacentral:rRNA from 1 species